UACGGGGGGAGCAAGCGUUGUUCGGAUUUACUGGGCGUAAAGGGCGCGUAGGCGGCCACCGCAAGUCGGUUGUGAAAUCUCCGGGCUUAACCCGGAAAGGUCAAUCGAUACUGCGGGGCUAGAGUGCAGAAGGGGCAACUGGAAUUCUCGGUGUAGCGGUGAAAUGCGUAGAUAUCGAGAGGAACACCUGCGGCGAAGGCGGGUUGCUGGGCUGACACUGACGCUGAAGCGCGAAGGUAUGGGGAGCAAAUAGG
rnacentral:rRNA from 1 species